rnacentral:rRNA from 1 species
GACGAACGCUGGCGGCGUGCUUAACACAUGCAAGUCGAACGGUAAGGCCCUUCGGGGUACACGAGUGGCGAACGGGUGAGUAACACGUGGGUGAUCUGCCCUGCACUUCGGGAUAAGCCUGGGAAACUGGGUCUAAUACCGGAUAGGACUCCUGGCUUCAUGGUUGGGGGUGGAAAGCUUUUGCGGUGUGGGAUGGGCCCGCGGCCUAUCAGCUUGUUGGGGGGGUAAUGGCCUACCAAGGCGACGACGGGUAGCCGGCCUGAGAGGGUGACCGGGCACACUGGGACUGAGAUACGGCCCAGACUCCUACGGGAGGCAGCAGGGGGGAAUAUUGCACAAUGGGCGCAAGCCUGAUGCAGCGACGCCGCGUGAGGGAUGACGGCCUUCGGGUUGUAAACCUCUUUCAGCUAUGACGAAGCGCAAGUGACGGUAGUAGCAGAAGAAGGACCGGCCAACUACGUGCCAGCCGCCGCCGUAA